AAUUUUGGACAAUGGGGGAAACCCUGAUCCAGCCAUCCCGCGUGUAUGAUGAAGGUCUUCGGAUUGUAAAGCACUCUAAGUUGGGAGGAAGGGCUUUAGGUUAAUACCAUGAAGUUUUGACGUUACCAACAGAUUAAGCACCGGCUAACUCUGUGCCAGCAGCCGCGGUAAUACAGAGGGUGCAAGCGUUAAUCGGAAUUACUUGGCGUAAAGCGCGCGUAGGUGGUUCAGUAAGAUGGGUGUGAAAUCCCCGGGCUUAACCUGGGAACUGCUUUCAUAACUGCUGAGCUAGAGUACGGUAGAGGGUAGUGGAAUUUCCUGUGUAGCGGUGAAAUGCGUAGAUAUAGGAAGGAACACCAGUGGCGAAGGCGACUACCUGGACUGAUACUGACACUGAGGUGCGAAAGCGUGGGGAGCAAACA
rnacentral:rRNA from 1 species